GCAUAGCUGAGAAUAGAGUUCAUUCUGAACGCUUAGGGCUCUCUUGACCUAUAGAUAAUCAGAGUAGAUUUGAAAAGCAGCCAGAAACAGAACAUGAACCUCUGAGGCAUCUCCCCCUGUGGUCUGGAGAACAAAACUGAUCUUUAAGGACAGAUGUAAAGAAGAAAAGUUGUAUUAGUUGUGAUUCCUGAGCCACGUCCCCUGAACUCGACUGAUGCAUUCAAUCCAUUCUGUCAAAACAGAAAAACAUUCUGAGGUCCUCUUUGCUCCUACUCUUCCUCCCAGGCAGAACCAGAAGUGCUUUGGGCCACCACUGCCCUUUGCCUUCUACAGCAGCUCCCUUUGGUUGCCUAUGGCAGUGCAACAGGGGGAGAUGCAACGGGUAAGCUGGACUGCGGGCAAAGUCUUCAAAGCUGCCAAGCUGCUGCCCUCUGAAUAUCAGCAAAUGCAAUGGAUGCACCCCUUGUCACCUCAUGAGACACGAGACUACGGUUGAAGGCUGUCCUACAAGAAGACAGCAGUGCUGAGCUCCAACUUCAGCUUGAAUCACAUCCUUCUUUAUGCUAAUUUAAUUGUACGUAAAGAAAAUCAACACCCAGAAGCGAAGCCGUACAAUGCAGCUGUACUCAGACAAUGACAGAGAAGUAAAGAAGGAAAGUGUGCUACUGAAGAAAACCUCUUAAAAGGCAGCUCCUCUUCCUUUAAGAGAUCCUUUCCUGAGCACAUCCUCGUCCAAAACCAGCCAGCCAAUUCCCCCUCCAACCGCCAGGCCUAACUGUCACCACUGUCACUUGUGGCAACCCUCAGCCCUACAGCUACCAGGGACAUGGCAUGAUGGCCCUGGUGGGCAGUGGGGGCUGGGCUGUGACUCUGCUUGUGGGACAGAUAGGAUGCCUUGAAUUCCAGCCACUGGCAUCAGAUGUACUCGGUACAUCUUGGCCUCCAGGGGAAGUUGGCAAGAGGCACCCACAUGAGCAACCACAGUGACAGCCCCAUCAUCCUGCAGUACCCCUGUGAACUGCUUGGUUCUGGUAGGGAUCCAAAGGUAUCUGUACCAGGGAAAGGAUGUUUUCAUCAGUAUAAAUGCUUUUGAGAGCAGCCUCUUCCCACUCUCCACCCCGGAAGAAUUUGAGGCCAAAGAAGCCAUUGUCAGUGCAGAUGCCUUGUGAACACAGUGGGAGUUGCAAUGGUGGUCAGUGGUUGGGUCUACCUGUACUCCAAGAACUUCGACAGGUGGUCCGAACAGCAGGAGUCAAUUCUCCUGGGUCUGAACUGUCAGAUUCCCAUUGCUGCUACUUUGGGAAAGACUCACAGUGCCAGGAGCUCAGCUAAGCCUUUUGCUUACAACACCAGACACUCAGUCUCCAACUGACACAUCUUCCUUUGGAAGGACAAGGGUUGCACUUUUAUGCACGCCAAGAGCAAUACAAGAGAUAAAGGAGUGUUACUCAGGGUCUAUAACUUCAUUGCCCUUUCUGUGACCAGCUUGCCUAUCA
rnacentral:lncRNA from 1 species